rnacentral:tRNA from 1 species
GGCCCCUAUGGUCCAGCAGUUACGACCUCUUUUUUUUCACGGAGAAAACGAGGGUUCAAGUCCCUCUGGGGGUAUACUAAGACUCAAGACGAUAGGAGUGGGAUUUUCUAUCAAGUGAUCUAUAUUUGUCAAGUCCUUCUAAUAGUCUACUCAGUGGGACUUUGUAUUUUAGAUCAAGUGAUAUGUAUUUAUCAAAUCUGUCUGGGGACAAUAUUGUGGAACGUCUAAAAUAAAUUAGGCGUUGGGUCAAUGCCCGAGUGGUUAAUGGGGACGGACUAUAAAUUCGUUGACAAUAUGUCUACGCUGGUUCAAAUCCAGCUCGGCCAACAAUUUGUCAAUCUACUAUCAGAUGGUAGAACACUCUUGUUCUUAAUAAAUACCUGAUACGAGAGAAUAAAAAGGAAUCCAAAAUUUCUGCUAGAUCUCUUCUUAUUUCCCUGGGAUUGUAGUUCAAUAGGCAAGAGCACCGCCCUGUCAAGGCGGACGUUGCGGGUUCGAGCCCCGUCAGUCCCGACGGAUCC